rnacentral:misc_RNA from 1 species
AAAACUAGCAGAGAAUGUGAGUGUGAUUUUGAAAAUAAUACAGUGCCUCUUUGAAUUUAUUUUCAUUUUUCUACACUACUAUCAGAAAUUAGUAGAUCAAGACAAAAUAUGCUCUUACACACUCUAUAAUAUGUUUGGUUUGGACAGAAUAAAUUUGUCAGUAGAUAAUGUUAAUGAAAAUGUAAAGAUAGAAGUCACCAGAAAUAACUUAGGUGUAAUAAGAAUAUGUAUGGUGCAAAGAGAGUGAAAAAAAGGCUAGUUUUGAUGACUUUUAUGUAAGAAUGUUAAUGUUACAUUCUCAAAUUGGGGGACUGUAUGAUUUGGAAAAGGUAGGCAAGUGAGGUUUAACUUAGAAAUGAUGCCUAGUUAACUACAUGUGCAAUGCCAUCUCUGGAUGUGAUUUCCCCUGUUUAAACAUGCAUUGUAUAGGAAUG